AGGUGCAUGCAGUGAUCCUGCUCCUGACGCAGCUCUUCUGCCAUGCGGGAAGCCUAAGAGGAGGCACAGUACAUUCUCAUCAAGCACAACAGACUUUUAAUGCCAGCAGCAGAGCAAACAGUAUAAUGACCCAGUGUGGCAUUUGUUUUCACCUGGACAUUGAUUUCGUUGUGCCUCUCAGUGAUCUCUAUCAGCUCCUGUUCCAGGAGUUUGCGAGAGCGCUCGCUGCCCUCCAGGCCAAUGCGCAUUUCUUCCAGCUCUGUCUGUGUCAGGCUGAGGCGGCGUUCCUGGAGGUUGUAUUGUUCCCGGAGCUCCUCGUGCUGGCGAGCAUCUUCAUCCAUCUGAAUCUGAAGAUCCUGAAGGCAAAAGAGGCAUCCAUAUGAUUAAGAAGCAUGCAGAGGAAGCUGUGAGUUCUCUGAGCUUGGACAAAGAAAACAGACUGGUCGCUCUCAGCCUUCCGUCGGGCCUUCUCCACCUCGGCACGGAUCUUCUUUUCCUGUUCCCAGUUGUCCUCCAGCUAACCAGAGAUAAAAGGGGAGAGGAGAAUCAAUGGCCACAAGAAUUUGAAAAAGCU